rnacentral:rRNA from 1 species
UGAGUAACGCGUAUCCAACCUCCCUUAGUAGGGCAUAGCCCGUAGAAAUGCGGAUUAAUACCCUAUGUUAUUCGUCGAGGACAUCUGAAGUGAAUCAAAGGUUUACCGCUAAGGGAUGGGGAUGCGUCUGAUUAGGCAGCAGGCGGGUAACGGCCCACCUGGCCUACGAUCAGUAGGGGUUCUGAGAGGAAGGUCCCCCACAUUCGGAACUGAGACACGGUCCAAACUCCUACGGGAGGCAGCAGUGAGGAAUAUUGGUCAAUGGGCGCGAGCCUGAACCAGCCAAGUAGCGUGCAGGAUGACGGCCCUAUGGGUUGUAAACUGCUUUUAUGCGGGGAUAAAGUUCACUACGUGUAGUGUUUUGUAGGUACCGCAUGAAUAAGGACCGGCUAAUUCCGUGCCAGCAGCCGC